GGCUUAGAGUUUGAUCAUGGCUCAGGAUGAACGCUAGCGGCAGGCUUAACACAUGCAAGUCGAGGGGCAGCGAGAUCAAAGCUUGCUUUGAUUGUCGGCGACCGGCGCACGGGUGCGUAACGCGUAUGCAACCUACCCACUACAGGGGGAUAACACUGAGAAAUCGGUACUAAUACCCCAUAAUAUCUUGGAAGGCAUCUUUCGAGGUUGAAAACUCCGGUGGUAGUGGAUGGGCAUGCGUUGUAUUAGCUGGUUGGUGAGGUAACGGCUCACCAAGGCGACGAUACAUAGGGGGACUGAGAGGUUAACCCCCCACAUUGGUACUGAGACACGGACCAAACUCCUACGGGAGGCAGCAGUGAGGAAUAUUGGUCAAUGGACGCAAGUCUGAACCAGCCAUGCCGCGUGCAGGAAGACGGCUCUAUGAGAUGUAAACUGCUUUUAUAUGAGGGUAAACCCGGGUACGAGUACCCGGCUGAAAGUAUCAUACGAAUAAGGAUCGGCUAACUCCGUGCCAGCAGCCGCGGUAAUACGGAGGAUCCAAGCGUUAUCCGGAUUUAUUGGGUUUAAAGGGUGCGUAGGCGGUUUGAUAAGUUAGAGGUGAAAUGUUAGGGCUUAACCCUGAAACUGCCUCUAAUACUGUUGAGCUAGAGAGUAGUUGCGGUAGGCGGAAUGUAUGGUGUAGCGGUGAAAUGCUUAGAGAUCAUACAGAACACCGAUUGCGAAAGCAGCUUACCAAACUAUGUCUGACGUUGAGGCACGAAAGCGUGGGGAGCAAACAGGAUUAGAUACCCUGGUAGUCCACGCAGUAAACGAUGAUAACUCGCUGUCGGCGAUACACGGUCCGUGGCUAAGCGAAAGCGAUAAGUUA
rnacentral:rRNA from 1 species